UAAUGUGCUCUGACGAUGAACUGGGCUUUGCCUUUUGACUUGCGUUGGCCAAUGGGACACAGGCAAAUGUCAUGCAAAUACAGAUUCAAAAAGUAUUUGCCUAAUGGUGCUUGUCUUCUUGGACACAGUCAAAUUGUGAAGAAUCUUGGGGCUACCUGCUGGAAACACAGUGCCUAACAGAGAGCCAGCACAAAUCACAAGACAUGUGAGUAAAGCCAUCUUAAGCCAACCAGCCUCAGUCAAGGCACCAGGUGACUCAACUGUCACUCGUGAUCCAAGCAACACUAACAUAGAAUAUGAACUGCCCAGAUGAACCCACCACAAAAUACAGAUCCAUAGAAGCUUGAACAAAGAAAAUGGUGGUGGUUUUUUAAGCCACUAAGGUCUGAUUACUUUCUUAUAAAGCAAAUGCUAACUGAUACAUCUAAGCCGCCAGAACUUGAUAUAUAUCUAAGAAAAUUAUGUGGGGAAGAAAGUUUUAAUGUGUAUGUCAAAUACAAUCAACACCACUUUGGAAGCACACAAAGAAAUUUUGAAAAUCACAAUGAAUAUCAAAUGGAUGGAAUUCAGUGAGGUAGGUGGCUGGUGCUAAUAGAGACCGUGUGAAUCAUACAAAGCAACUGUUUGCACAUCAGAAAGCCGUCUAUGUUUUAAAGUUUUUACAUCAUAAAAAAGUUUGUUUACUUUAAAAAACACAAAACAUAAAAAGAGUCUGUUACAAGGGAGCAUUGUACUUCAUUUUAUUAAAUUUUAAGAAAUAGGUUUGGAGAAGCAGUAUGACAGUCUAAUUUUCCCAUAUUAAUGUCAAAUAAUCUCCCAUUAUUUUCAUGCAGAAUUUAUGAUUUUUAAGAACAUAUUACUGACAUUAAGUGGGAAACACUUGUGUUUCCUCAAAUGAAACUCUUUGAAGUCACAUAAUCCAUAGAAAGUGUUGGGGAUAAAAAAGGAUAGGGAUGUUUAAGGCAAAAUAUUUUAAAGCAAUGUUUGUUCUAUGCUGUCAGUGUUGCAAAAAUAAUCUCAAAAGUAAACAAACACGGCCGGGUGCAGUGGCUCACGCCUGUAAUCCCAGCACUAUGGGAGGCCGAAGUGGGCGGAUCACAAGGUCCGAAGAUCGAGACCAUCCUGGCUAAUACGGUGAAACCUCAUCUCUACUAAAAAUACAGAAAAUUAGCCAGGCAUGGUGGCGAGCGCCUGUAGUCCCAGAUAGGAGGCUGAGGCAGGAGAAUGCCAUGAACCCGGGAGGCAGAACUUGCAGUGAGCCGAGAUCUCACCACUGCACUCCAGCCUGGGUGACAGAGCGAGACUCCGUCUCAAAAAAAAAAAAAAAGUAAACAAACACUUGUUUUGACUUGUGGCAAAAUGAGUAACACCAGCCAAAAGGUCGGGAUGCCUAACAUCUACAGAUCAAGUGAUCUUGGGCAAGUAAAUAACUUCUCAAAUCCAAUUGCUCCAUCUAACGUAGAAAUACCUCGGCAAACUUCCUGAACUACCAGGAAGAACUAUUAGGACAGAGGGAGCAUCAACAUAUCUGUAGAUACCAAAUUUCGUGCUAGACUAUGUUUAAGACAGCUCAGACACGGGACAAUUAGGGGAGAUUGAAGGAAUGGGACGACUGUUUAGGGAGCACUGUCUACGGUAGGACAGGUCAUUCCUACACCCCAGAUGACACCUUCAAGCUCCCUCCUAUAAGCAACAUUUCCUAGGCCCCUGCCUAGUCUUCUCAAACUCACCUCUCCUUUCUGAAAGUUGGCCUAAACCUUCCAAAAGCACCAGUUGUUAAUAGCUAUUGAAUGAGCUAUUAUCAAUCAAAUACCGUGCAUUCUAGGGAGUAGGAUCAAUAACUGCUUGGGUCAUGCAAAACUAGGAUCUAUGCCUUUCUGUGAUUCUGCUCUGAAGCUCCAGUGAGAAGGUUCAGGCCAGAAGGGUGCUCUUUCAGAGGGGAGUCCUAUUUUCUGCUUCCAAGUGUGGAACGCCUAAUUUAUUGCAAAGACAACUGGGCCAUCACCCAGCACCCCAUCUUCCUCGUGGAACUCGUCCCUGGAAAACAGGCCGGGGUUGCCCUCUAUGCUGCCUAGAGGGCCUGCCUGCCGGGGCUGCCCGCUGUACGUCCUUCAGGCCUGGCUGGGAGGCUCAGCUGGCCCCGGGGCCCGCAUGCCGGGCCUGUCCACUGUCCUGCCUUCAGGGCUCGCCAGCCUGGGCUGCCCGCGGUCCUGUCUGCAGGGGCCGCCUGCCGGGAUUGCCCGCUCUCCUGCCUGCAGGCGCUGCUGGGAGGCUCAGCUGGCCCCGGGGCCUGCCUGCUGUCCUGCCUGCAUGGACCACCAGGCUGAGCUGCCCGCUGUCCUGCCUGCAGGGCCCGCCUGCCGGGGCUGCCCGCUGUGCAGCCUGCAAGGCCCACCUUCCGGGGUUGCCCUCUAAGCUGCCUACAGUGCCCGCCUGCCGGGGCUGCCUUCCGGGAUUGCCCGCUCUCCUGCCUGCAGGCCCUGCUGGGAGGCUCAGCUGGCUCAGCCUGCAGGGCCGGCCUGCCGGGGCUGCCCGCUGUACGUCCUCGAGUUCCGACUGGAAGGCUCAGCUGGCCCCAGGGCCCCAUGCGGGGCCUCUCCGCUGUCCCGCCUUCAGGGCUCGCCAGCCUCCGCUGCCCGCUGUCCUGUCUGCAGGGGCUGCCUUCCGGGAUUGCCCGCUCUCCUGCGUGCAGGCCCUGCUGGGAGGCUCAGCUGGCCCCGGGGACCGCCUGCCGGGUCUGCCCGCUGUGCUGCCUGCAUGGACCACCAGCCUGAGCUGCCCGCUCUCCUGCCUGCAGGCCCGGCUGGGAGGCUCAGCUGGCCCCGGGGACCGCCUGCCGUGUCGGCCCGCUAACCUGCCUGCAGGGCCCGCCAGCCUGAGCUGCUCGCUGUCCUGCCUGCAGGGCCCGCCUGCCGGGGCUGCCCGCUGUGCAGCCUGCAAGGCCCACCUGCCGGGGUUGCCCUCUAAGCUGCCUACAGUGCCCGCCUGCCGGUGCUGCCCACUGUACAUCUUUCAGGCCCAGCUGGGAGGCUCAGCUGGCACUGGGGCUUGCAUGCCGGGCCUGUCUGCUGUCCUGCCUUCAGAGCUCGCCAGCCUGGGCUGCCCGCGGUCCUGUCUGCAGGGGCCGCCUGCCGGGAUUGCCCGCUCUCCUGCUGGCAGGCCCGGCUGGGAGGCUCAGCUUGUCCCGGGGACCGCCUGCCGGGUCUGCCCGCUGUCCUGCCUGCAUGGACCACCAGCCUGAGCUGCCCGCUGUCCUGCCUGCAGGGCCUGCAGGCCCGGCUGGGAGGCUCAGCUGGCCCCGGGGACCGCCUGCCGGGUCUGCCCGCUCUCCUGCCUGCAGGGCCCGCCAGCCUGAGCUGCUCGCUGUCCUGCCUGCAGGGCCCGCCUGCCGGGGUUGCCCUCUAAGCUGCCUACAGGGCCGGCCUGCCGGGGCUGCCCGCUGUACGUCCUUCAGGCCCAGCUGGGAGGCUCAGCUGGCACUGGGGCCUGCAUGCCGGGCCUGUCUGCUGUCUGGUCUUCGUUUUUGGUUCUCUUCAUUUGGUUUAUAAAUUUGAGUUAAUAUUUGGAGCCAUUUUCUCAACCCAAUACAGCUUUGCUCCCAUGACCUCCUUCGUACUCUUAUUGGUGAACACAUUACAUUUAUAUAUGGUACAGGAAGAAGAAUGCAUUGUAUAUAUGCAGUUUUAUACAACUGCUUUCUACAUCGGUUAAGAGAAGAAAAUAGAAGAAUGUGCACUUAUACUGCCUUUUGUAGUUUCAUAUUUACCUUUUAUGGUGCCCUAUGUUUUUUGUGUGUGAUUUUGAUUUACUGUCUGGGAUCACUUGCUUCCAGCCUGAUGAAUUUCUCUUUUGAUUUCUUAUGAGGCAGAUAUUCCAGCGACAUAUUCUUUCAGUUUUGUUAAUCUGGGUCAACAAGAGGAGCUUAGUACUCCACACAAUGACUUAGGAACCUGUGCUGGUGGUGGCACUGGCAUCUUACAGCUGCUCCAUCUGGAGAAGGUUCCAGGUGAUUCCAGCUCUUCAUAUAGCUGCUGCCUCACAGAAUUAGGAUGAGUAGUGGGAAGAACUGAGUGUGGGAAUGAAGCAGAUGGGACAGAGUCCAAGAACCCAAAAGCAAGGAGGAAGAGACAGUACCGGGGCAUGAAUAGCCUUGGAGGGUUCCUGACGCCAGCCUGCAGUUCCUGGAGCUCCAGCACCUCAUCCACAACAUUUGCGAAUGGACAAGGCAGGAGUGAGGAAGAAAGGUUUCAUCUUCAGAGAAGAGGUAUCAGUAGUGUAGGGGUGAAGGUGAUGGAAGAAACGGUUGUGGAACAAAAGGAAUAGAAAGCUCCCGGCAAGGAUGGAGGCAGCACUGUUUGUUGGACAACUGAAUUGGCCCAGGUGGCCCCUGCACUCUCAGGUACCUGAGACUCCACCCGCCUUGCCUUACUGUCCACAUUUACUCAUGGUGACAACCCCCGCCCCCAAAUUUCAUUUGAAUGACAUGCGCAGGUGCAUUUGCACUGAGAUCUUUAUUCUAGGCCUGGGGCCUUGGAGCAGUGGGCAAUUGCAACACAGGACAGAGAAGAGAGUAUUGUUUGUGUCCCUGUGAUCAGACACAUGCACACACUACACACACACACACACACACACACACACACACACACACAAGGACACGGGCACAGACAUGGGUAGUAAUGAGACCUAUUAAGUAUUUUCCCCUCCAGUAGGCAGAUGUGCAUGAUACAUAAAUUACAAAUAAGAGGAACCUUGUGAACACAUUUCAAAGGCAAGAUGAGUGAAUAUCGGUGACUUGUGGUUUUCAUGUAUUUUAUAAUUCAGUUCUUGGUAUAAAAUAUAUUUUAUAUUCCAACCUCGUAUACACCUAUACACUCUUGAAAAAUCGAAAGAAGAGUUUCACUGAAGAAAACUUAAUUUCACAAGGUGUGAUACUCUCUGAUGUUUUAUUUUACAUCAUAUACUAGUUCAAUUAAAAAAUAAAUUCAUUAAGCUCAUCAGAAUUGACUGUGCCUGCAAUUUCAAAAAUG
rnacentral:lncRNA from 10 species